rnacentral:lncRNA from 1 species
CAAACGUAUGUUCAGCACUAAUCAGAUGUAUCUUGAUGUAUAAUAGUUUAUAAGUCAGUUCUGGCAGAAUACUUGUACCCAACACGUCUUACAAAGUCCACAGUAGUAUAUUGUCCGUUUGCAAGUUUUGAAUUUUGCUCUAAAAGGAAGUCCAUCUUUUCCUUUUCGUAUUUGCGAACAGGUGCUUUGACAGUAAGAGUUCUCAUCUUAAUGUAAGAUGUUGUUUGCAGUUUUAGUAAAACGUCGACAAAAACAAAAAUGUUAGGAUGGCUAGCAUAAAACUGUUCGUUCAGGUGUGCAUGAAAAGACUCAGCACCAUUUGUCGUUCUCUUUUCCUCGGGAUCAGGAGGUGAUGCCCAAAUGGUUGGUGGAAAUCUGGAAUUGCCAUCUAUGUAAAAUUCCAAGAUAUAAUCGGCAAACUUCAUACAUUUGUCGUCAGAUGGAGCAUCAGCUAUUAACCCAACAAAGCAUUCUUCGAUCAUGUCAGUUGACAAGUAAGCCAAGCCAAAGAAAUGAGUUAGCCAUUUACCUAAAUCCGAAUCUUUGUCUUUGUAAUCGGCACUUAGACCUAGCGACUGAAUUUUUCUCCACCAACUUUGUCCUAAAUGAAAUCUACAACAACUGAUUGUAGCAGCAGGAAAUGUUUUCGUAAUAGCAGUAUGCAUUGCACAUUCAAAGUCAAUGUGAACUACCUCGGGCUGGAGAGUUAAUCUUCGGGUAGUGCACACAUCAAUAAGCAGAUCCCACAUUUUGAUGUAACAUUCCUCGGAUUUAAGUGGAAGU